rnacentral:piRNA from 1 species
UGCCACAAGCAAGCAUUCGGGGACU